CAUCUGACAGCUCCUGUCAUUGGUUUCCAACGUGCGGCCCGGCCUCCGUUGACGCCUCUCCCUGUCAUUAAUGGCCUGUUUUUCUUUUUUCCAUCACUGCACCUGUUCUUGACUGUCAGACUAACACUGGUCCGUCCCCACAGAGCGACAAACGGCUCCUGGAGGCUCUUCAGGGACCUGAAGGUCAGAGCAGAGCAGGAAUGGAAGAAAGCUACGAGACUUUUGAGGAGGACCUGUGGCCCCCAAAAACUGAUCCUCUACAGAAGCCUGUUAGACCCACACGUAGACCAGAAAUGUUGAGCACAAGGAAAGUCCCAGAGGCUCCGCCUCCACAGCAACUGAGAGCAGAACCCAAGACGUUCCCCAGAGAACCCAGCCUCCCUCAAACAGCUUCCUUACAGAAAGCCUUACCCAUCCAGAACCAGAGCCCUGUUGAGAAGCCUUGGGAGAACGUGACUUUGAACCGCUGUCUGCUGGUGGCCAUCACCAUCCUGGUUCUAACCUCAGGCUUUCAGAGACUCAACGAAAACUUCCAUGGGCGAGAGGAUGUGGAGGAUGAAGAGUCUGGACUGAGAGUGAGACGCUCUGGCUCUUUACGACACAGAGGACACAUGAUGGAGCCACAGACUUCUCUCUUGGACCUGGUAUUCAUGUGGCUGCCAGACUUCAACGAUGAUGAUGAUGAUGAUGAAAAUGAGGAGGAGGAUGAAGAUGGAGAGGUGAAAAGAGGAAAAUCCAAAAGAGGCGAGAAAAGCUGGAGCAGCCUGAGAAACAAGCCUCCGCCUGCCAAAAAACUCAUGAAGAAAAAAGACGGGAAACUAAAGGGAAGGAGAGACGAGAAGGAGACGACAGGAAGAGUUUCAGAGGAAGGUGAUGAUGAGGAUGACCAAGAUGUUCCUCAGAGAACUGUCCAAUCAGAGAAGAAGAAGGAAAAGAAAAAGACUCAGAAAGAAUGAAUUGAUUUUUGGAUUUUUUUUUUUUUCUUCUCUUCUUUAGGAAAACACUCAACAAUUCAACAAAAACAAGUGAUUUGGAUCAUCUGUUAAUUCACAGGCAGUUACUGUGUUUCCAUUUCUAUUGGACAUGUGACUGUUUGUCUAAAAUUAUGUUUAAACAAACUUAGUUUAACGGGAAAAUCAUCCAAUCAGAACAAAUGUCAGAUCAAUGUGGAAUAAAGUAUUUUCCUGUGUCGAGGCUUCA
rnacentral:lncRNA from 1 species